GGGCCAGACUCCUACGGGAGGCAGCAGUAGGGAAUAUUGGUCAAUGGGUGAGAGCCUGAACCAGCCAUGCCGCGUGCAGGAAGAAGGCCUUCUGGGUUGUAAACUGCUUUUGCCAGGGGAUAAAAAUNCCUUGCGAGGUAAAUUGAAGGUACCUGGUGAAUAAGCCACGGCUAACUACGUGCCAGCAGCCGCGGUAAUACGUAGGUGGCAAGCGUUGUCCGGAUUUAUUGGGUUUAAAGGGUGCGUAGGCGGCCCUGUAAGUCAGUGCUGAAAUAUCCCAGCUUAACUGGGAGGGUGGCAUUGAUACUGCGGGGCUAGAGUACAGAUGAGGUAGGCGGAAUUGACGGUGUAGCGGUGAAAUGCUUAGAUAUCGUCAAGAACACCUAUAGCGAAGGCAGCUUACUAGGCUGUAACUGACGCUGAGGCACGAAAGUGUGGGGAUCAAACAGGAUUAGAUACCCUGGUAGUCCACACUGUAAACGUUGAUUACUCGCUGUGUGCGAUAUACAGUACGCGGCCAAGCGAAAGCGCUAAGUAAUCCACCUGGGGAGUACGCCGGCAACGGUGAAACUCAAAGGAAUUGACGGGG
rnacentral:rRNA from 1 species